GUCGGGGUGGCGGAAUUGGCAGACGCGCACGUUUGAGGGGCGUGUGAGGAAACUCGUACGGGUUCAAGUCCCGUCCUCGACACCA
rnacentral:tRNA from 2 species